AGCGGCCCCCGGUGCAGCCCAUGGCUUGCGAGACCUGUGGGAGCGCGCUGAUCCGAGGGACGCCCCCUGCCGGCCUCGGGAAGGAGCGGCUGCCGGGGGUCUUUCUGUGACACUGGCCUGUGGGCUCCCAAGCUGCCUUCAUUCAGCAGCACGUUUGACACCUGCCAUGGACCGACAAGUCACUGUGACAGAAGACAGGACUCCAAAGGAGAAUAAAGCCAAGCAAGCUUCCCGCCAUCCCAGUGAGUGGGAAGGAGGAGAGAGCAUCGGCGACCUCAGACGGACUGUAGAUUCCUUAAUGGGCACAAGAGGUGGCUCUCGUCAAUCUCUAUCUCACGCUGCUCUCUCCCAAGUGAGGCCUAGGAAAGCCACAUCCCCUGUGAGCCUCCUGGCCUGGCCUGGUUACCUCUCCUCCCCCUUCAACACCACUUCCUGGGCUGGGGAUUAGCUCAGUUGGUAGAGUGCUUGCCCCUCAUGCAAGAGGCCUCUGGGUUCAAUCCCCAGCACCACAAAAAAUAAAUAAGAACACUGUUUACUUGGCCAAAUGCUUCCAGAAUAUUCCAGCACUGGAGUCAUCUCCACAGAGAAGCUCUGCAAAGCCUCUCACAGAAGACUUCAAAGGGCAGAAAUCUUAUGGGAAAAGAAUCUGAAGCCAGAGUAGUCCCCAUAUAUCACCGGAGAUUGCAAAAACUUACAUGUUGGGUCCCCAGUACCUGGCUCAGUGCCUAGAGAAUUAAUGUGAACAACCUGGAGCAGCACGUCAAUCAUCCAUUAUACGUUUUAAAACAUUCUGGUUACUUGGACUUUCUGGUUGAGUUUUUGCCCUGGAAUUCAGAUGUUAAAGGCCAUUUCCCCAAAAACAAAUUCCGCUAAUAUAAAUUUUUGCUUGAGUUAUACACAAACUCCAUGUUACUUUUAUUUUGGUUCCAGGGAUUGAGCCCAGGGUGUUUUACCACUGAGCCACAUUCCCAGGCCUUUUUACUUUUUUUUAUUUUGGGACAGAGUCUCCCUAAAUUGAUUAAGGCCUCACUAAGUUAUAAAGACUGGCCUCAAAUUUGCAAUCCUUCUGCCUCAGCCUACUGAGUCACUGAGAUUACAGGCAUAUGCCACCACACCUGGCUUUCCUUUGUUACUUUUUAAAGAUGAUGAUAAAUAACAUGGGGCCACCUAUUUAUAGGACUCUGAAGUCUCUUCACCCCAGUGAACCAAAGCUGCCAGGCAAGAGAAAGAGGAGCUGAAGGCUGACCUUCACUACAGUUGCUGUGCCAGGUCACCUCUGCCAGAUCCUGGGGAGCAGAUCCCAAGGGGCUGCCCUCCUGAUGCAUUCAGGGAUGACGUUGACUCCUAGAUGCCUGUCCUGGGGGCAGGGUGGAGAGCCAGGCUUUGUUAUUAGAUAGCCCUAAUUUGACUCUUGUUUCUGGCCCUCAUUAGUUUGUGACUUUGAGCCAGUUACUGAACUUCUCUGAGCCUCUACCCUCUCUAUAAAAUGAGAUCUAUUAUAAUACCUACUUGGUGUGAUUGCUGUGAAGAUAAAACCAAACACUCAGCUUGGCAAAUGGCUCACAGGAGACGCUGAAGACAAGAAUGCUUCCCACCUUCUCUGGCAAGUGCUCUGGCACUAGUCCCUCACAUGGUCCAUUUUAUGUCCUGCACAUGCAGGAGGACUUAGGAACUGUUUUGGUUGGUGUUCUAGGACCCCAAGGUCAAGGUGCAGCAGGGUCUCACUAAGUUGCUGAGGCUGAAUUUGUGAUCCUCCUGCCUCAGCCUCCCAAUUGGCUGACAUCACAGGGCAGGGACCCCUGGGCCUCCAUGGGGCAUGGUGAUGGGCUACGUAUUUCGUAUCCGCUUCCUGAUCAUCAUGAGAGCUGCUUCCCUCUGCCACACUCUUCUGCCAUGAUGUCCUGCCUCAUCUUGACCCAGGAGUGGAGCUGGCUGUCUUAUUAUGGAUUGCAGCCUCUGAAACUGUGAGCCCCCAAACAGACUUUUCCUCCUGGGGAUGUGGCUCAGCAGUAGAGCACUUGCCUUGCACAUGUGAGACCCUGAGUUCGAUCCUCAGCACCACAUAAAAUAAGUGAAAUAAAGGUGUUGUAUCCAACUACAACUAAAAUAAAUAAAUAAGAAUUGUUCUUGUCAAGUCUUUAGUCACAGCUGGGAAAAAGCUGACUGAAACAGCUGAACAUUUACUAAAAGAAGGGCUUAUCCUUGUAAAUGUGUAUCUUUUGCAGCUCAAAAACAUCUCUCAAGGACCUGAGAACUCUUCUCAAGAACUGAACCAUCAAAAGAGUAAGACCACAGUCUCUAAGACUCUACCAGAGGACAGAAUCCUAACUGACCAUUACCAAUCAAAAAACCCAGCUGGCCAGUCUCACGGACACAAACCAACCCUCUGCAUUUCUCCUUCUCCCUGAGACCCCAUGUUCCACCAUGGUUAUUUGCUUUUAGUUGGCUUUAAAAAUCACUAAUUCUGGAGGACUCGCAGCUGAGCCAUGUGUUGUUAGGCUCUCCCAGAUUUGCUGGGGACCUCUGGGUGCACCGUCACCGUGAUCACGGUUGCCUAGGUGACAUUUCAGAGACUUGGAGGCCAUUUUUGUUGAAAUCACCAGUUCUUCACCUGGGGCUACAAGGGCAUCAGAUCAGUGGUCUUUUGACAUCAGAAAACUAAAAACUCCACCUUCAGGUCCUACUAACUGCCAUUUUCUGAACAGCUCCCAUGAAGAGACCGGACGGUUGAUUGGGCAUCACCGUCCCCCAUACCUCGGACAACCCGACAUCCUUAUUCCACAAAUAUCCCCAAAGGUUAUCCUCAGGAAGGUGAAUUUGAGGAUCACCUACCUCAUACUUGAUCACCUUGCAAAUAAACUUGUCCCUUACAAAUUCA